AUGUCCACCACCGCCACCGCCUACGCCACAUCUACGGCAGAUGACGACCGCCGACAAGCGCUCCAGGCGUUCGACGACACCAAGGCGGGCGUCAAGGGCCUGGUCGACGCGGGCGUCACCGCCGUCCCCGCCAUCUUUCACCACCCGCCGGACUCCCUCCCCCUGUACGCGCCUCCUCAGCUACACCACGAGCACCGCUUCACCAUCCCGGUCAUCGACCUCGCCGGCCUCGGGACGCCGUCGGGGCGAGCCUCCGUGGUCGGCGCGGUGAGGGCAGCCACGGAGACGGUUGGCUUCUUCCAGGUGGUGAACCAUGGCGUGCCGGAGGCGGCCAUGUCGGAGAUGCUCGCGGCGGUGCGGUGCUUCCACGAGGAACCCGCGGACGCCAGGGCGCCGUACUACAGCCGGGACCACGGCCGGCGCGUCAGGUACACGAGCAACUUCGACCUGUUCCAAUCGCCGGCCGCCAACUGGCGCGACAGCGUGUACAUUGACAUGACGCCAGACCCGCCGGCGCCCGAGGAGAUCCCGCCGGCCCUCCGAAGCGUCGUGCCGGAGUACGAGCGGCUGGCGCGGCAGCUGUACCACGAGCUGCUGGAACUGCUGUCGGAGGCCCUGGGACUGCGCCGCGGGCACCUAAAGAAGGACGCCGGGUGCCUCGACGGGCUCAACCUCGCCGCCCACUACUACCCGGCGUGCCCGGAGCCGCACCUGACUAUGGGCACCACCCGGCACUCCGACCCCAGCUUCCUCACCGUGCUGCUCCAGGACGCCGUCGGCGGCCUCCAGGUGCUCGUGGAGGAUGACGGCGGCUCCGCUGAGUGGAUUGAGGUGCCGGCGGUGCCGGGGGCACUGGUGGUGAACAUCGGCGACUACCUGCAGCUCUUGUCCAACGACAGGUUCAAGAGCGUGGAGCACCGCGUGGUGGCCAACGGCGCGGGUCCUCGGGUGUCGGUGGCCUGCUUCUUCCGGACGUACGGUGCCGCCGCGUCCAUGAGGGUGCUGCAGCCGAUCGUCACCGGCGGAGACCGCGCGAGGUACAAGAGCGCGACGGUGGAGGAGCUGCUCCGGCACUACAGGGCCAAGGGCCUGGACGGCACCUCCGCGCUCGACCACUUCAGGCUCUGA
rnacentral:rRNA from 1 species